rnacentral:sRNA from 1 species
CAAUAACCGUUGCGUUAGCGAUUGCAGUGGCAUCCUUUUUUAGCUUUAAUACAUGGCUAAAAAAGAUAUAACGAAAAGCGCGACCCCUU